AUGCUUUUUUACGGGAGCCGCCGUGAUUUUACACGUCAGGGCAUGACCUUGCUGCUGUUUAGGGGAGGGUUUGUGGCGAGCCGACCGAGGGCGUCUGAUGGUACAAAGAGGCGAGCCACCAGUGCUUCAUGCCGGAGCCGUCGUGGUGUAGCGAAGGACCAGCCGCUUCAAUGCAGCGACGGCGCUGCCGGCCGGUGCUGCAGCGCAUCGCUGGCGCCACGAAGGAGGAGCGUCUGGCGUGAUGCGUUGCAACUUCUGAUGUGCUGCAUGCCGAAUGAGGCGCGACGCCGUCGGGUCGCCGGUGCUGCGAUGAAGUCCUCGUCGCCGGGCGUCAGUGUUGUAAUGAAGCUCUCGUCUCCAGCCACUGGUGUUGUAAUGAAGCUCUCAUCUCCAGCCACCGGUGCUGCGAUGAAGCCCUCGUCGCCGGCCGCCGGUGCUGCGAUGAAGCCCUCGCCGCCGGCCACCAGUGUUGUAAUGAAGCUCUCGUCGCCGGCCACUGGUGCUGCGAUGGAGCCCUCGUCGUCGGCCACUGGUGCUGCAAUGAAGCCCCCGUCGCCGUGUGGUGCUAGCAUGGAGCUUCGCCUGAUGCCCAUCAGUGUUGCAUUGGAGCUUUGA
rnacentral:rRNA from 1 species